AGUUCUUCAGGGCUGUCUCUGUGAUCCAGGCUUUGAUCUGGGAAAGGUUGCGCCUCAUUGCAGAGUUGAAGCUAUCUGCCUGCUUUGUUUACACGAACGCCCUUCCAGGACUCUGUCUGCUUUUGGGGUGGAAGUGCCCUGCCAAAAACUCCAGCUCUCCAUGCUGGCUGUGUGGCCAGCAUACCUCCUGCCUUUUCAACGAUUCCUCUGCCCUGGAUAGAGAGCGGUGUCUCAUAACAGUUUGGAAACUACAAAAGUUUCCCUGGCAGGAUGAAUGAUUGACUCGGCAACAUGUUCUUGCCUUUUGGAGUUGCCCUCCAAUUUUUCCAGGCUUGAUUCUGUAAAUCAUUUCAUCUUGUAAAAAUACUGGGCUGUGAGCACGGAUGAUCUCAAAGAUGAGGAAACAGAAGCUGGGAUAUGUGAGUAAACAUUUCCAAGGUCCUGCAGCUAAUCAAUGGUUGACAACUUCUUUCCUCUGCCUAUGUUGCCAUCCAUGUCAUGGUUUGUGUCAAGACUCUAGGAGAAGUCUACCAUCAGCACCACAGCUACUGUGCACAAAUCCAGAAUGCCAGACUGAAGUCAGAAGGAAAGAGAUGAUGCAGCUCAUUGCUGAUGCUGAGAUCCAACGUCCAGUGCCUGAGUACCCCUGGAUUCUGAGCACUAGGGGCUGGACUGUGGAGACCAUCAGUUCAUAACAUCCUGUCCCUGCUCCCUGCUGUAGAUGACUGAGACCAGGUAACAAAGACACUUAACUUCAUAAAUUAAAAAUGUGUAAAUUAUAAAAUACAUUUUUAAUUAUAGAAUGAAUUGAUGUUCAGCAAAGAAAAGUUGAAUGUAAUAAAACUCUCAUUUAUUUCCAUUAUUUGCUUUCAUCAUCAAAGGAAAAAAAGCAUCUCUCUGAAGUUAAAUGGCAUUUCAUUUUGAUUAAUUGUAGAAAGAAGAUUGGAAAAAUCUCCCAUGACCAAGGAAAAUUGUGAAAAAUAUUUCUGAUAUUUUGUCUAUGCAUUUUAUUUUUGAGGGUGUUUUUUAUAUUAGUGUGACUAUUUUGUAUUUCCUACCCUGUUGUAAACUUUUUAAAAAUUGCUCUUACAGUUAUUACUAAGUAUAUGAUUUAAAAUCCCUAAUUAGGGUUCUUAAACAAGGGAGAAGCACUCUCAUACCCCUAGAACAAGAUGAACAAAAGAAGGAGGAAAAAUCUUGACCUCCGUAAGAUCCAGGAUGGCACGUGCAAGGCACUGACACAGCAUCUGCCGGCAUCACUGACUCUCCUGGACCCCAGAAGCCCAGUUCCCCAGGCUCUGAAACCCUGCAGCAAUGAAAAGGAAGCACAGGCAAACCAUAAGGAAGAUAAUUUUUCUACUAAAAAAUAAAUAGAAAUGCAUCCUUAGAGGCAGGUUUCAUGAGGACACAGAGAAUCCGGUUUUGUGUGUGCCUGAUUUCGUUUUUCUGUCAAAGAGAUACAAAACAAUCAACUGAGUUAUCUUGAACUUACAAAGAUUAAAAAUAAUCAAUUCCUGUUACUAUUUUCAAUUUUUCCCCCAUUUUACUUCUUUAGGUAUGAAGAAAUGUAGCCUAUUAAAACCUGGAUUAAUAAAAACCUUUCAUUAACUUUUAGAA
rnacentral:lncRNA from 1 species